rnacentral:hammerhead_ribozyme from 1 species
AUCCAGAUGACGAGUCACAAAUAGGACGGAAUUCGCAUCUUGGAU